AUUGAACGCUGGCGGCAGGCCUAACACAUGCAAGUCGAACGGUAGCACAGAGAGCUUGCUCUCGGGUGACGAGUGGCGGACGGGUGAGUAACGUCUGGGAAACUGCCCGAUGGAGGGGGAUAACUACUGGAAACGGUAGCUAAUACCGCAUAACGUCGCAAGACCAAAGUGGGGGACCUUCGGGCCUCACACCAUCGGAUGUGCCCAGAUGGGAUUAGCUAGUAGGUGGGGUAAUGGCUCACCUAGGCGACGAUCCCUAGCUGGUCUGAGAGGAUGACCAGCAACACUGGAACUGAGACACGGUCCAGACUCCGACGGGAGGCAGCAGUGGGGAAUAUUGCGCAAUGGGCGCAAGCCUGAUGCAGCCAUGCCGCGUGUAUGAAGAAGGCCUUCGGGUUGUAAAGUACUUUCAGCGGGGAGGAAGGCGGUGAAGUUAAUAACUUCACCGAUUGACGUUACCCGCAGAAGAAGCACCGGCUAACUCCGUGCCAGCCGCCGCGGUAA
rnacentral:rRNA from 1 species